CCCUGUAAUGCAAUGGAUAGCACGUUGGACUUCUAAUUCAGGGGUCGUAGGUUCGAAUCCUAACUAGGUUGG